rnacentral:rRNA from 1 species
CACUCCUGCGGGAGGCAGCAGUGGGGAAUUUUGGACAAUGGGCGAAAGCCUGAUCCAGCAAUGCCGCGUGAGUGAAGAAGGCCUUCGGGUUGUAAAGCUCUUUUGUCAGGGAAGAAACGGUGAGAGCUAAUAUCUCUUGCUAAUGACGGUACCUGAAGAAUAAGCACCGGCUAACUACGUGCCAGCAGCCGCGGUAAUACGUAGGGUGCAAGCGUUAAUCGGAAUUACUGGGCGUAAAGCGUGCGCAGGCGGUUUUGUAAGUCUGAUGUGAAAUCCCCGGGCUCAACCUGGGAAUUGCAUUGGAGACUGCAAGGCUAGAAUCUGGCAGAGGGGGGUAGAAUUCCACGUGUAGCAGUGAAAUGCGUAGAUAUGUGGAGGAACACCGAUGGCGAAGGCAGCCCCCUGGGUCAAGAUUGACGCUCAUGCACGAAAGCGUGGGGAGCAAACAGGAUUAGAAACCCGAGUAGUCCCA